GCAGAGUUACAAUUCACAAAUGACUGUCACUCCGAAUUGUGGAUACAUUUUAGAGUCUUGUUUGGUUUAGCUCCAUAAAAUGAAACAUCACAGUACAGAUAAUCAAAUAUCAGCUAUAUAAUCCUUUCUAGGUCCUGGCCUCCCGAGGCUUGCAGCUGGAGAGCCAGGUUGUAAUGGAGGGACAGGAUCUGCAGGACCUUGUGGCACAAGUACAGAGAACGUCUCCUCUGCAGCAUCUCAGUACUUCAGUCAUGCAGGAUAGGAUCUCGGAGGCAGUCUCUCACUGCCAGGAGAUUCUUGGGAGGUUUGGUUCCCUUGGGUUUCUGCGACCCGCUGAAACAACCGAUCAGAUGCAGACGCAGCCACAGUCUGGGUUUUUGGUUGUGGCCAGAACCAAACAUGUUGACCAGGUUGGAAAUGUGAUGCUGCAAACUCAAGACCCGAAUCAGGUUUCAGCUGAGAGCCCAUCUCAGACACCUCAACAAAGAACAAGAGGUCUCCAGGGUUGGCCUGAAAAACAGCACAUGAACACACAGGAGGAACCAUCCAUUGUUACACCACAUGUUCAAAUCCAGAUGCUGCCUCAGCAUUUGGGGGCAUCAGGAUGUCAUAUUCACUCUCCUCUUGCUCAAACUGUAAAAGAAGCAGCGCAAAUGAUCCAGCCACAGUCACUUUCUAGAUCACACACUCAAGUUUCAAGCCUGAGUCAAAAUGAUCAACUUCUACCUGCUUUAACCCAAGCUCUUGCUGGAUCAACUGGUCCAAAAAGUCCAGUUCCUGAGGAAAAGGAGAGCUCAUCCUCACCACAAAUCCACACGUCAAAAUCCAGAAUAAGAGGGCAACCGAAAACCCUACAAAGUAAAAAUACAUCUCCACAGCCACCGGUUAUGGUCCGCAGUGAGGUCCAUUCAAAAGCCCAGUCGAUGGCGAGGAGCAGACUGGAGAAGGCUCGGUUUCGUCUGCAAGGACGCAUCCAGCAAGCCAUCAAGUUAUUUGGUGGCAAACAGAUUUCAGAGUCACAAGCCAAAAGGAAACAGGUACAGAUUUAAACAUUUUGGAUAUAGUAUUAUUUAUUCAUCAUGAGAAAAGUUUCUCAUCAACAAAAGUAAAUGAAUGAAUAGUGAUUUACCCUAAAAAGGAAUUUUGCACUUGUGAAUAAGUGUUAAUCAAAUUGUCUAUAAAGUUGGCUUUGCACCCAC
rnacentral:lncRNA from 1 species